GUGCAGCAGGCGCGAAAACUUUACAAUGUGCGAAAGCACGAUAAGGGAACUCUGAGUGCCUCCUAAGGAGGCUGUUCAGGUGUCUAAAAAGCACCUGGAGUAAGGGCUGGGUAAGACCGGUGCCAGCCGCCGCGGUAACACCGGCAGCCCAGGUGGUAGCCACUUUUAUUGGGUCUAAAGCGUCCGUAGCCGGUUGAGUAAGUUCCUUGGGAAAUUUGGCUGCUCAACAGUCAAGCUUCCAGGGAAUACUGCUCGACUUGGGACUGGGAGAGGUCAGAGGUACUCCAGGGGUAGGGGUGAAAUCCAUUAAUCCCUGGGGGACCACCGGUAGCGAAGGCGUCUGACCAGACCAGGUCCGACGGUGAGGGACGAAGGCUAGGGUCGCGAACCGGAUUAGAUACCCCCGUAGU
rnacentral:rRNA from 1 species